rnacentral:rRNA from 1 species
GAUGAACGCUGGCGGCGCGCCUAACACAUGCAAGUCGAACGGCACCUGCCCUCGGGCAGAAGCGAGUGGCGAACGGCUGAGUAACACGUGGAGAACCUGCCCCCUCCCCCGGGAUAGCCGCCCGAAAGGACGGGUAAUACCGGAUACCCCCGGGCGCCGCAUGGCGCCCGGGCUAAAGCCCCGACGGGAGGGGAUGGCUCCGCGGCCCAUCAGGUAGACGGCGGGGUGACGGCCCACCGUGCCGACAACGGGUAGCCGGGUUGAGAGACCGACCGGCCAGAUUGGGACUGAGACACGGCCCAGACUCCUACGGGAGGCAGCAGUGGGGAAUCUUGCGCAAUGGGGGGAACCCUGACGCAGCGACGCCGCGUGCGGGACGGAGGCCUUCGGGUCGUAAACCGCUUUCAGCAGGGAAGAGUCAAGACUGUACCUGCAGAAGAAGCCCCGGCUAACUACGUGCCAGCAGCCGCGGUAAUACGUAGGGGGCGAGCGUUAUCCGGAUUCAUUGGGCGUAAAGCGCGCGUAGGCGGCCCGGCAGGCGGGGUCUCAAAACCGGGGGGGCUCAACCCCCCGAAGCCCCCGGAACCUCCGCGGCUUGGGUCCGGUAGGGGAGGGUGGAACACCCGGUGUAGCGGUGGAAUGCGCAGAUAUCGGGUGGAACACCGGUGGCGAAGGCGGCCCUCUGGGCCGAGACCGACGCUGAGGCGCGAAAGCUGGGGGAGCGAACAGGAUUAGAUACCCUGGUAGUCCCAGCCGUAAACGAUGGACGCUAGGUGUGGGGGGACGAUCCCCCCGUGCCGCAGCCAACGCAUUAAGCGUCCCGCCUGGGGAGUACGGCCGCAAGGCUAAAACUCAAAGGAAUUGACGGGGGCCCGCACAAGCAGCGGAGCAUGUGGCUUAAUUCGAAGCAACGCGAAGAACCUUACCAGGGCUUGACAUAUGGGUGAAGCGGGGGAGACCCCGUGGCCGAGAGGAGCCCAUACAGGUGGUGCAUGGCUGUCGUCAGCUCGUGUCGUGAGAUGUUGGGUUAAGUCCCGCAACGAGCGCAACCCCCGCCGCGUGUUGCCAUCGGGUGAUGCCGGGAACCCACGCGGGACCGCCGCCGUCAAGGCGGAGGAGGGCGGGGACGACGUCAAGUCAUCAUGCCCCUUAUGCCCUGGGCUGCACACGCGCUACAAUGGCCGGUACAGAGGGAUGCCACCCCGCGAGGGGGAGCGGAUCCCGGAAAGCCGGCCCCAGUUCGGAUUGGGGGCUGCAACCCGCCCCCAUGAAGUCGGAGUUGCUAGUAAUCGCGGAUCAGCAUGCCGCGGUGAAUGCGUUCCCGGGCCU